AAUAAAAUAAAAUAAAAUAAAUAGAAAUCAUGCAAAUUUAAAAAAGGAAAAUAUUUUAUUGCAAAUUUAAAAAAUAAAGUCACCAAUCUCAUGUAAUUUUCUGAAAAUAAAUAAGUAGAUGAAUAAAUAAAUAAAAUAAGAAAAUAAAUAAAUAUCAAAUACAUAUAAUCAAUAAUCUAAAUAUUAAACUAAAACAAAAUAAAAAAUGAAAAAAAUCAAGC
rnacentral:lncRNA from 1 species